GGAAGGAAGCCAAUUGCAGCAGCCAGCAGUUGCUGAAGGACAAACAGAGGAGCGAGUUACCGAAGUGACCUUGACUGCUGGACUGCCCAGAUCUACCACAGCACAGCGACUACAGAAUCUGAGG